rnacentral:rRNA from 1 species
AGCAGCCGCGGUAAUUCCAGCUCCAAUAGCGUAUAUUAAAGUUGUUGCAGUUAAAAAGCUCGUAGUUGAAUUUCGGGGUUAGUAGGUUGGUCAUGCCUCUGGUAUGUACUGGUCUCACUGAUUCCUCCUUCCUGAUGAUCCUUAAUGCCAUUAAUUUGGUGUUUUGGGGAAUUUGGACUGUUACUUUGAAAAAAUUAGAGUGUUUAAAGCAAGCUAACGCUUGAAUACAUUAGCAUGGAAUAAUGAAAUAGGACGUUCGAUCCUAUUUUGUUGGUUUCUAGGAUUGACGUAAUGAUUAAUAGGGAUAGUUGGGGGCAUUAGUAUUCAAUUGUCAGAGGUGAAAUUCUUGGAUUUAUUGAAGACUAACUACUGCGAAAGCAUUUGCCAAGGAUGUUUCCAUUAAUCAAGAACGAAAGUUAGGGGAUCGAAGACGAUCAGAUACCGUCGUAGUCUUAACCAUAAACUAUGCCGACUAGGGAUCGGAUGAUGUUAAUUUUUUAAUGACUCAUUCGGCGCCUUACGGGAAAC